GCCGAGCCAGGUAGCGUUGGCUUGUAACCCAAGCGGGGGCACGUGAGGUUUGGGAUGGUCAAAGGAACAACAGAUGGGUUGGUUGCGAUCGUGUAGGAGCCUGGCCUGUCCGUUCCAAGUCAGGUAGCUGAACCACGCGGCCUGGGCGAAGGCUCGAGCCCCAUGAUUCUUAGAGCAGAGGACACCGCGUCAGGCUGGCUUCACAGAGCAACGAUAACCACUCGCUCUUGACGGUGGGAGGAUAACAGGUCGGCGCACAUCGCAUCCACCACGCCCGCCUCGCUCCUUAGACCAAACCACCACCUUU
rnacentral:SRP_RNA from 1 species